CAGGAUGAACGCUAGCGGGAGGCUUAACACAUGCAAGUCGAGGGGCAGCAUAGAGUAGCAAUACUUUGAUGGCGACCGGCGCACGGGUGAGUAACGCGUAUGCAACCUACCCUGUACAGGGGGAUAGCCCGGAGAAAUUCGGAUUAAUAUCCCAUAAUGAUAUUUGAAGGCAUCUUUAGAUAUUUAAAGUUUCGACGGUACGGGAUGGGCAUGCGUGACAUUAGCUAGUUGGUAGGGUAACGGCCUACCAGGCUGCGAUGUCUAGGGGUCCUGAGAGGGUGAUCCCCCACACUGGUACUGAGACACGGACCAGACUCCUACGGGAGGCAGCAGUGAGGAAUAUUGGUCAAUGGGCGUAAGCCUGAACCAGCCAUCCCGGGGGAAGGAAGAAGGCGCUAUGCGUCGUAAACUUCUUUUCCAGGGGAAGAAAACCCGCUACGAGUAGCGGCUUGCCGGUACCCUGGGAAUAAGCAUCGGCUAACUCCGUGCCAGCAGCCCGCGGUAAUACGGAGGAUGCGAGCGUUAUCCGGAUUUAUUGGGUUUAAAGGGUGCGUAGGCGGAUUAAUAAGUCAGUGGUGAAAACCUGCAGCUUAACUGUAGAAUUGCCAUUGAUACUGUUAGUCCUGAGUACGGUCAAGGUAGGCGGAAUGUGUAAUGUAGCGGUGAAAUGCUUAGAUAUUACACAGAACACCGAUUGCGAAGGCAGCUUACUGGGCCAUUACUGACGCUGAUGCACGAAAGCGUGGGGAGCGAACAGGAUUAGAUACCCCUGGUAGUCCACGCCGUAAACGAUGAUCACUCGCUGUUAGCGAUACACAG
rnacentral:rRNA from 1 species